rnacentral:rRNA from 16 species
UUGAAGAGUUUGAUCAUGGCUCAGAUUGAACGCUGGCGGCAGGCCUAACACAUGCAAGUCGAACGGAAACAUGUCUAGCUUGCUAGAUGAUGUCGAGUGGCGGACGGGUGAGUAAUGCUUGGGAACUUGCCUUUGCGAGGGGGAUAACAGUUGGAAACGACUGCUAAUACCGCAUAAUGUCUACGGACCAAACAGGGCUUCGGCUCUGGCGCAAAGAGAGGCCCAAGUGAGAUUAGCUAGUUGGUGAGGUAAAGGCUCACCAAGGCAACGAUCUCUAGCUGUUCUGAGAGGAAGAUCAGCCACACUGGGACUGAGAC